GAUGAAGAACGUAGCGAAAUGCGAUACUUGGUGUGAAUUGCAGAAUCCCGUGAACCAUCGAGUAUUUGAACGCAAGUUGCGCCCGAAGCCAUUAGGCCGAGGGCACGCCUGCCUGGGCGUCACACGUCGUUGCCCCCCCAUCUACUCCUUCGGGAUUGCGGGGGGCGGAUGAUGGCCUCCCGUGCGCCUCGUCGCGCGGUUGGCAUAAAUGCCAAGUCCUCGGCGACGCACGCCACGACAAUCGGUGGUUGCGAAACCUCGGUUGCCCGUCGUGUGCGGUCGUCGCGCAUCGAGGGCUCGAAAAAAUUGCCGGGCUCCGGCUCGGCUUUCAACGCGACCCCAGGUCAGGCGGGGUUACCCGCUGAAUUUAAGCAUAUCAAUAAGCGGAGGA
rnacentral:misc_RNA from 1 species